AGUGGGGGAUAACGUAGCGAAAGUUACGCUAAUACCGCAUAUGCCCUGAGGGGGAAAGGUGGGGAUCGUAAGACCUAUCGCUUUCGGAGAAACCGAUAUCAGAUUAGCUAGUUGGUGAGGUAAAGGCUCACCAAGGCGACGAUCUGUAGCUGGUCUGAGAGGACGACCAGCCACACUGGGACUGAGACACGGCCCAGACUCCUACGGGAGGCAGCAGUGGGGAAUUUUGGACAAUGGGGGCAACCCUGAUCCAGCCAUGCCGCGUGAGUGAAGAAGGCCUUCGGGUUGUAAAGCUCUUUCGGACGGAAAGAAACGGCUACGGCUAAUACCCGUGGCUAAUGACGGUACCGUCAGAAGAAGCACCGGCUAACUACGUGCCAGCAGCCGCGGUAAUACGUAGGGUGCGAGCGUUAAUCGGAAUUACUGGGCGUAAAGCGUGCGCAGGCGGUUUUGUAAGACAGGUGUGAAAUCCCCGGGCUUAACCUGGGAACUGCAUUUGUGACUGCAAGGCUAGAGUAUGGCAGAGGGGGGUAGAAUUCCA
rnacentral:rRNA from 1 species